rnacentral:rRNA from 1 species
AACGAACGCUGGCGGCAGGCUUAACACAUGCAAGUCGAACGGGUGUCGCAAGACAUCAGUGGCAGACGGGUGAGUAACACGUGGGAACCUUCCUAGGGGUACGGAACAACUCAGGGAAACUUGAGCUAAUACCGUAUACGUCCGUGAGGAGAAAGAUUUAUCGCCCUUAGACGGGCCCGCGUCGGAUUAGCUAGUUGGUGGGGUAACGGCCUACCAAGGCGACGAUCCGUAGCUGAUCUUAGAGGAUGAUCAGCCACACUGGGACUGAGACACGGCCCAGACUCCUACGGGAGGCAGCAGUGGGGAAUCUUGGACAAUGGGCGCAAGCCUGAUCCAGCCAUGCCGCGUGAGUGAUGAAGGCCUUAGGGUUGUAAAGCUCUUUCAGCUGGGAAGAUAAUGACGGUACCAGCAGAAGAAGCCCCGGCUAACUCCGUGCCAGCAGCCGCCGUAAAAC